rnacentral:misc_RNA from 1 species
UCUCCGUUGGUGAGCCAGCGGAGGGAUCAUUACAGAGUUGCAAAACUCCCAAACCAUUGUGAACGUUACCUAUCCCGUUGCUUCGGCGGGCGGCCCGGGCCCCGCGCCCGGCGCCCCCCGGCCCCCCGUGGGCGCCCGCCGGAGGUAAACCAAACCCUUGAAUUGCAUGGCCUCUCUGAGUCUUCUGUACUGAAUAAGUCAAGACUUUCAACAACGGAUCUCUUGGUUCUG